rnacentral:rRNA from 1 species
GACGAACGCUGGCGGCGUGCCUAAUACAUGCAAGUAGAACGCUGAAGGAGGAGCUUGCUUUUCGGAUGAGUUGCGAACGGGUGAGUAACGCGUAGGUAACCUGCCUGGUAGCGGGGGAUAACUAUUGGAAACGAUAGCUAAUACCGCAUAAGAGUAGAUGUUGCAUGACAUUUGCUUAAAAGGUGCAAUUGCAUCACUACCAGAUGGACCUGCGUUGUAUUAGCUAGUUGGUGAGGUAACGGCUCACCAAGGCGACGAUACAUAGCCGACCUGAGAGGGUGAUCGGCCACACUGGGACUGAGACACGGCCCAGACUCCUACGGGAGGCAGCAGUAGGGAAUCUUCGGCAAUGGACGGAAGUCUGACCGAGCAACGCCGCGUGAGUGAAGAAGGUUUUCGGAUCGUAAAGCUCUGUUGUAAGAGAAGAACGAGUGUGAGAGUGGAAAAGUUCACACUG